rnacentral:rRNA from 1 species
CCUACGGGUGGCUGCAGUGGGGAAUUUUGGACAAUGGGCGCAAGCCUGAUCCAGCUAUUCCGCGUGUGGGAAGACGGCCUUCGGGUUGUAAACCACUUUUGUUGAGAACGAAAAGUCUAUUGAUAAUACCUUUAGACGAUGACGUUACUCUAAGAAUAAGCACCGGCUAACUACGUGCCAGCAGCCGCGGUAAUACGUAGGGUGCGAGCGUUAAUCGGAAUUACUGGGCGUAAAGGGCGAUCAGGCGGUUUUGUAAGUUGGAUGUGAAAGCCCCGGGCUAAACCUGGGAAAGGCAUACAUGACUGGAAGACUAGAGUGCAUCAGAGGGGGGUGGAAUUCCAGGUGUAGCAGUGAAAUGCGUAGAGAUUUGGAAGAACACCGAUGGCGAAGGCAGCCCCCUGGGACGCAACUGACGCUCAUACACGAAAGCGUGGGGAGCAAACAGGAUUAGAUACCCUUGUAGUC